AUGUAUGUGUGUAUAUAUAUAUAUAUAUAUAUAUAUAUAUAUAUAUAUAUAUAUAUAAAUAUACAUGGUGUAAAGAUACUGAAGAUUCAGUAUACACCACGUGGCAAAAUUAUGAGUUGAAAAUAUGUAG